GUGUCAGCAGCCGCGGUAAUACGAACUGUGCAAACGUUAUUCGGAAUCACUGGGCUUAAAGGGUGCGUAGGCGGCUUGCUAAGUAGGGUGUGAAAGCCCCCGGCUCAACCGGGGAAUGGCGCCCUAAACUGGCGGGCUGGAGUGAGAUAGGGGUGUGCGGAACUUCCAGUGGAGCGGUGAAAUGUGUUGAUAUUGGAAGGAACGCCUGUGGCGAAAGCGGCACACUGGGUCUCAACUGACGCUGAGGCACGAAAGCCAGGGGAGCAAACGGGAUUAGAUACCCCGGUAGUCCUGGCCGUAAACGAUGAAUACUAGCGGGGAGGAGGCUCGUCCUCUUCCCCACGGAGCAAAAGUGUUAAGUAUUCCGCCUGGGGAGUAUGGUCGCAAGGCUGAA
rnacentral:rRNA from 1 species